CAAAAACAAAACUGAUAAACUUUUUUAUCAAAACACACUUCUAAAUUUCGUCAGUUGCGAAUUAUUUUGUGUUUUUAAUACGAUUUUUUGCGAAUAACGUGAAGUGUUCGAGUAUUUCUUUCUGUAAAAUAAUCAAGUUAUUUGAAAGAUGUCUCUAGUAUCAAAGAUUAAAACAUCAAUUAAUUUAGAAGCGUAUGCUGAAAAAUUUAUCCGUAAGUAACAACCUCUUAUAAAAGUAAAGUAGAAAAAUCAUCAAUCAAGAGUUUCUAUAGAAAUUUGAUGCAUUGAAUGUGCUUUAUUUUCAACAGCGAAAAUAAGUAUAAUACCGAAAGAGACAAUGGAAGAGAUGAAUAUAAAAUACGAAUUUGAAAAAGACCUUAAAAGUAAAGCGAAGAUAGUUUGUCAGAUCAAACACAACCAACAUAUCGUAGUUUUCAGAAGUGUAGUGCAAAGUACCACACGAUGAUGGUAGUGCCGGCAUCGUAUAAUACAGCGUGAAAAUCUAAACUAGAUACUAUUCCAUUUCUAUUUUAUCGUAACAUCGUUCAUUUUCUCUUUUUUCAUGUAGAAAGCAUUCGCCGCGGAACAUAGAUGGUUAAAUUUACCUUUGGGAUCCACUUCUCAGCCAGGUAGCUUUUCUAUAAACUGAAAAAGCUACAAACUCAGCGAAUGACGGUGUCAUUCCUGAGUAACUGGCUGAGAAGUAUUUCUCAAAGGUAAAAAAUCUUCUCUUUAUAAAACUCAUACACGAACGGGCGUGUCACUGAGUAAGGAAAAUUAAUGAAAUAAAAAAUGAUCUACAUGAUGGUUGGUGACCUCACGUAGAUCUCAAACGAAGGAAGCUACUCUACGAUCGUAGCAACCUUCUCCAAAAAUGAUUUUUUUUUCUAUUUUUUUUUACUUUGAUACAAAUAAAAUUUCUUAACGGAUCAGCCAGAAUAACUUUAUUGGUUGAGAAAUAUACCUUGUUAUUUUCCACAACCCUAUGUUCCCAAGAUAUACAGCGACGAGCUGAUUGCAAGAGAGUUUCGCUUUUGCUUUCUGCAUGUGGUUCUUUGAGAACAUGGAAGCAACAUAUGUCAGAUUCCAGGCGAGGUUUAAACAUUGGAAAACCUGUUAAUGGAGUUGAAGGACUUGGCAUUUUGUCUCUGAUACCAAACUUCAACAUUACAUUCUGCUUCUCAACCAGAUUAUCUACAUAAUGUGUGUUUAGGUGAGAUCAAUGAUUAUUACUUAAAUCUAUGCUGGGAAAGUGGGUAUGAGGUGAGAAUCGUCGCAGAUAAAGACGAUAACGGAUUCAUCAAUGUAAGACAGAUAAUAACCUAUCUCAACUUUUUCCAGCUCGAACAACUCUGUGAGGACCCAAAGCUCCAUUCAAAAUUUGAUAAGCGUUCAUUGCGAAAAAUAAUGAUGGAUUUUUAUUAUACGUAAAGAUCUUCUUGACAAAUUUCUCAAGGAAUAUCAACAACCUCAAACUGAUCAAAAUAAACAAGAACAAAACAAUUCCAAUCAAAAUGACAAAUCCCCAUCAACAGAUUUCAAUGAAUUUAAGCGAAAAAACCUCGAAGAUCACAUUUUAGAUGCUGGACUCGGAAUUUGGAGCUCGAAUUGAUGAGGAUCUGUAUCCAUAUUAUACCUACCUUUAGACAGACCUACGAGAUCCCGCGAAUUAUGACCGAAGUGCACGCUUGGCAAAAUCACCUUAAUGAGCCGAAAUUCCUGUACGGACCGAUCUGGUCUUAUAUCAAUGCUCGCAGUGCACUACCUUGGCCAUUUACCUACCAUCAUCGGCAAGGUCAGAGGUCAAAAUCUCGAAGUUAUUUACAACUCACGGCUACCUCAUUCAAUAGUAUCUUCGAAAGUGGUGGAUUAUAUGGGCUGGUCAAACCCUGGACUCGUCGUUAAAAAACCUCUUGAUAAACCAAUCGUUAUCUAUGUACCCUGGAGAGACGAUUUCCGCCUCAAAUGCAAUUACUCGGUAAACUUUCCAGUGACGCUUAAUCCCGGUAUGCCUGGAUACGAGAAUGAUGAACACGUCAUCAACUGUUUCGUCACCGAUUUCGAGCCAUAUCGAAUUUCCGGAAAAGUCCGUGGCUCGAUCAUCUUAGGCAGGAAUUUUACGUCGAAAGUCAUCUCUUACGAUGACACUAAGGUGGAACUAAUAUACAUAUUUUCAGAAACUACAUUCUUUCAGCUAUUUUUUGACAUAAUAACUUAAGCGAUUAACACAUUUUGUCACAUCUUGAUGAGAGUUUUAAAAUAUGUAUCUCCUCCAUCCAAUUUUCGUCCAACCCCAUAAGGCACACAAUUUUUUAUUGCUAUUUUUCCCCGCUAUGUGGCGAAUAAGUGCGAAUAACGCGUCUAAUUCACCAGUAAAUCACCCUCCAUCCAAAUCAGAUACAGUGAUUUUGAAGUUCUUUCUGACCAUUUUAGCACAAGUGCAUCUGCCAGCCCAAACAGAAAACCUGGGUGCCUUUUCGUCUUUCAACUUUAUGGCCCAUUCAUGGAGCAAAGACCACCACUUACGCACAUGUUGAACACUUGUACCCUUACAUCCAUGCCUCUAGGCCAACUGUGGAUGAAUUUCAGUUUGGGGUUGUCGUCAAAUUUCAAAAAUUGGAUGAUACUGCGAACUACUUUGUUGGACGAAAAUUGGAUGGACGAUAUAUUUUAAAACUCACAUCAAGAUGUGACAAAAUGUGAUAAUCGCUCAAGUAAUUAUGCCAAAAAAUAGCUGAAAGAAUGUAGUUUCUGAAAAUAUAUUAGUUUUUUACUUUAUCUGAAUUCUUCAUUGAGAAAAAAAAUAGGGAUCUUUACUUUUCUACCGACCCUCGUAUAUAGAAUGUUAACGUCAUAUUUACUUUAUUGGAAGAAGAUGGUCGUCCCGGUCAGUCUCCUAGUUUACGUAUAAUGCGAGAGAACCUUACGUUACUGAAAAAUCAACCUGAAUUGAGAAGACGAGGUGUUAUAGGCAAGCUUUUGAAAAUCGUAAGUAUAUUGUGUUUGAUAUGAUGAUUUGUUCAAGUGAAAUGUUCGCUAAUUGAUCGUUUAAAUUCUUUCAAAUUUCAAUCAAGAUGAAUACGAUCACAAUACCAAUAUACAAGUACGUGGAAUACGCUGGAUCGCUAAAAAAAAAAUUAAGGAUUUUGAUCAAAUUCACUGGAGACCUUCGUAUUGAGUACGAAUGCCACUCGGAAUUUUUUUUAGCUCAAGAGGUGCCACUGGAGAGCGAAUUGGAUCCUCAAAAAGGAUCCAUUCCCGAAAAAAGCGUGGUUCUUUCGCUCUGUAGCGUUUACCCAAACAGUUUUGGAAAAAAUGGCCCCGUUCCAAAAGAUGAAAUUUGAGAUUCUGCAUCGACUUAGGCUAUUAUUGCAAUUAAAAUUCAAGGCCAAAUUCCAAUUUUCACACAGCAGGUUUAUCAAUUUGCAAAUCGUUCAAUUUGGGGUAAAUUCAUCAUUUUAAAAUAAUUUCUUCCCAAAUAAUUUGGCAUUAAUUAUGCCGAAACAUCAGAAAAUUAUUAUCAUUUCUGAAACUUAGUUGAUAUUUUGGAACGCAGUGGUGUCAAUUUUUUGGCCAUUAUUGCCAAUUUUAAAAAAAAAAAAUCGAGAAAAAUAGCUAUAAACUUAUUAAAUUCUUCACAUUUUCUUGAAAUUCGCAAUAAUCACCAAAAAAUUGACACCACCGUAUUCCAAAAUAUUUCCCAAAAUUCAGGAAUGACAUCUUUCGACGUGCUUGGCGUAAUCACUACGUAAUAUCCGAGAAGAAAAUACUUUCAAAACACCAAUUUACCCAAGAACCAAAAAGUGGUUUUAGAUUUUGAUGGUAAGGGCCGAGUUGACGUAGAAUUUCGAAUAGCACUUUUUUAAAAUGGACCAUUUUCCCCAAAACAGGUCAGAUAGGACCAGAGAUGAAAAAAAACGAGAUUUUUUCAAAAAUGCUCCCUCUUCAAUGACUCAUAUUUCUCCUCCCCAAGGGUUACCUCUGAUGUUGAAAUCAUUUCAGAGAGACAUUCUACUCGAAAUGAGAGGCUCUCCACUGAAUUUGGUCAAAAUCCUUCGACAUUUUUUUUUUUAUGAUCCACCAAUUUUUCAUUCUAUCAUUUUGUGAAUGAUCCCGGAAACCAUUGGGCGCUUGUCACAAUAAAUUUGGCGCAAUGACCAGAAACCGAGAGACGAAAAGUUUUAUCAGCGACUCAACAAGCAAAUUGUUUGCUUCUUGAAGAACAUGCGUAAGGUUACGUCGAAGAAGGCGAUGCAUAUUACUACCGCAAAUGUAGUACGUGAUCUAUCUGGACACAGAGUGUCCGUAUCAUUGGGGUUACUUUUUUUAAAAAUUCGAUAUGUAAUAAAAAAUUUUCUUUUGCAGUUCGAGCCCAAUCAAGGGAAUAGCGUUUCCGAAUGCGGUGUGUUUGUGCUAGAAUACAUGCGUCGUACGUUGGCCGGGCAAGCGAUGGACUAUUCUUUGUCGGAUUCCCCGGAAAUCCGGAGACGCUUGCUCGGUGAUCUGUUAUCCGGCUCCCUACAUACAUAGGUAAACAAUUAUUUUUUUAUAAUAUAUCUCGUGCCAAACUUCCAAUACAGGUUGCCUGCGAUGCUCAAAUUCGGGUCAGCGUUCGGUACGCUCUCGACUGCCUUCACGCCAUGAAGAGUACUUUCGCUGGUUAGGUGCUCUCGCAAAAGCCUCACAACGCAUG